rnacentral:rRNA from 1 species
GACGUAGGAUGCAAGCGUUGUCCGGAUUUAUUGGGCGUAAAGAGUUCGUAGGUGGUUUGUUAAGUCUGAUGUUAAAGACUGGGGCUCAACCUCGGGAGUGCAUUGGAUACUGGCAGACUGGAGUGUAGUAGAGGCAAGCGGAAUUCCCAGUGUAGCGGUGAAAUGCGUAGAUAUUGGGAAGAACACCGGUGGCGUAAGCGGCUUGCUGGGCUAUAACUGACGCUGAGGAACGAAAGCUAGGGGAGCAAAUGGG